AUUAUUAUUAUUAUUUUGUAUUUUGGGUUUGUGCAAUUAGUUGAGCGGUGUUUCACAAAUUUGAAAAAAACCAAAGUCGGUUUCAUUUUGUUGGUCUUAUCCUCACCCUUUCUUUAAUUGGGAAACCAAACCCCAAUUUCCUUUUCUCUCUCUCCCCGUGUGAAACCCCAAUUAAACCCUAAACUCAUUUCUUCCUCUCGGUGCCCUGCUUUUCUAUCAAAACUCUCACUCCCAAUCCCCUGUUGUUACCCUUGCUGCUCGUCGGAGCCGUUUGUGUGGUGCUGCUCGUAAGCCACCACACCGCUGCUGUUCUUUCGUGCUGCUGUUGUUAUUCGUGGUUGUUGUUGGUGGUUUUGCUGCUGCUCUGAGUUGUUUCUCGACGAAAAAUCGCCAGAAGCUUGUCGAUGGCGUCGUGUUGCUGCGGUUUAGCCUCGUUGGCUCUCCGUCACCACUCGCCAGAGGCCCAAACUCCCCUCCCUUGUUCUUGCUCUCGCUGCCGCUAUUAUUGGUUGUUGCUGCCGCCUUGUGCCUGAUGCCGCCGUCGACGCCGACGCUGUGUAUGGGUGUUUGUAAUUUGUCGAGUACCAAAGUAUCUUAAAUGUUUCAGGUUGCAGCCGUGAGUUAGUCUUUUAUCAAGUUGAAGCUGAUACGAGAUGGUGCAGUAUUAUAUUUGUUAUUAAAGUGAGGAUGCUCCACUUGUAAUAGUUAAUUGUUUAUUUUCUAUAAUCUAUUUCUUCAUUUAAGAAUCGUUAGCUAGUGCUCCUAAUUUCCUGUUCGUUGUUGCUCCGCGAAAGCAUUGAGGUUGUUGGGAUUUGGAAAUAUUUUUAUACUUGAAAUUGUAACAGGUUUGAAUUA